UACAGAGGUCCCGAGCGUUGUUCGGAUUCACUGGGCGUAAAGGGUGCGUAGGUGGUGAGGUAAGUCGGAUGUGAAAUCUCCGGGCUCAACCCGGAAAUGGCAUUGGAAACUACCUUGCUAGAGGAUUUGAGGGGGGAUUGGAAUACUUGGUGUAGCAGUGAAAUGCGCAGAUAUCAGGAGGAACACCAGUGGCGAAGGCGCCACUCUGGGCCGAUACUGACGCUGAGGAGCGAAAGCGUGGGGAGCGAACAGG
rnacentral:rRNA from 1 species